rnacentral:tRNA from 1 species
AGGAGCUUAGGAUCGACCACAAACCGAAGGCCUUCAAAGCCUUAAACAAGAGUUAGAACCUCUUAGCUCCUG